CACUCUUCCCAACAAAUAUGUUAUUUGUAAUACCUAUCUUCUCUAAUCCACGUGUUUAAAAAAUGUCUCAAACGUGUGUGGGCUAGAAUACAUUUUGUUUUUCUGUGGGUACAUUCAUUUAACAAGGGCAGUCUCUGAGGAGCUAUCAAAAACUGCCUGCCAUCUUUCCAAAUCAUGUCUCUCCUGCAGUGACCAGGACUUAAUCCUGAAGGAAAACAAGUUGGAGUGAUCAGCUUUCAGAUCCUUGAAAAGGUGCUGUAUGCCAGGCUGGGCUCAAGACUCACCUGCUGGAGAAUUUGCAGACAUAGCCCAAUGGACCAAAGGAACAGAACUUGAUGGUGUUGAAAGGCAGCUGAAGUGGAAAUUCGUUUGAAAAAUCCAUUAUUUAUGAAAUGAUGAAAUCCAGCCAUUUGUGACAACAUGGAUGAUCCUUGAGGGUAUUACGCUGAGUGAAAUAAGUCAG